CGUGUACCGUGUGUGUGUAUGUGUGUGUUUGUGUGUGUGUGUUUGUGUGUGUGUGUGUGUGUGUCUGAGAUAGGUUUCGAGAUAAGAGGGAGAACAAAAAUAGCGAGCGAAGUAAGAGAAAUAGAAAAGAUAAAAGU